rnacentral:lncRNA from 1 species
AUGAAACUCCUUCACCACAAAAAUUACCUGAAAAUUACAGCGAGAAGAUCUGAGGGGCCCCAAAAUACCACCAAACUAUUAUGGGUGAAUUGCACGUUGCCCUUUAUGAGAAUGCAUCCUUCAGAGCAGAAAAUAAAAUUAAGAAAAUCUAAAAUUUUAAAAGAGGACAAAAGCUCACUGUUCCUGGAGUGUUGUGAGAAAGCACCAGAAGCUGAGCUGAUGUUGGAACUAUACUGCCAAAGGCUUGAGACAGGGUAUCUGUCCACCAUCUUCACAGGAUGAUGCCAUCUACGAUGUCUGAUGACUCUACGCAACUGGAAAAUCUCCAAGUAUGACCUAGCAGUUCAUUUAUCAUUACCCCAAAAUAAAAAUUAUCCACUAUUAUAAUGCACUAUUAUAUUAUAUAUAGU